UUUCAACGUUGUCUGUGCGCCUACCUUAAACUAAAACCAGGAAGAAGAAGAAAGCGAAGAAGAAAGAGAAGAAGAAGCGGGAAAGUUCUUGGAAACGACAGUCGCAACACUUGCGACAUGAGACUUGGAUAGCAUGGACCAGAAGGAAACAACUACAAGAAAGAGGUUAAGAGUUCCCACAAAGAAAAUGAAGGACCUGCAUAAUUCUCCUCCCCCAAUUAAGCAAUCUGAUUGUUUGGCAUUCGUCAGAUGGGAGGACAGUUAUACCGGCAAAAUCUUUACAGGAGCAGACAUUUUGUCAAGAGAUGAAGCUCCUGUGCAGAUGUUAGAUCUUAAAACAGGAGAUUCUGUUUUAGCAAAGUGGUCAGAUGGUAUAUUUUAUAGGGCAACUGUUGAAUAUAUUUUAGGAAAAGAUCAGACUCAGUCACCAAAAGGCUGCCAAACUCCACAGGAGUUAUUUUUAAAUAUGUUGGAGGCCAGUGAGCCAUCACACUCAACAUCAGGGUCUGACACCAUUACAGUAGAUCAGAGCCCACUGUCUGAACAUGAUAAUAUUACAGCGCUGAAUCUAUCAAGUGACGAGGGACUUGUA